CACAGGAGAUUUUUAAUUGCUCUGUUGAUGACCGGAGUGCGGGUUUGGGCAUGCCUAACCGACUCGGGCAGCCUGUGGGCUUGACAGGUACAGAAGUGAGAUGCUCUGGCUCAUGACCCCUUCCCAGGCUCUUCUGCCUGUUCACACCAGGUUGGCAACACUGCAAGUCUUAGUUUCAUCCUUAACUUCACAAUUUCUGGAGUGAUGGUCCUUUCACAGUGUCCCUGCAUCGACAGCCACAGAGCCAUAUCCGGUCUUUCACCUAUCAGCUGGCAGUGGAGCCUGGACUUCCCUGUGGACCCCACACUGACCAUCCCUCAUCCUGAUGGUGCUGGUGCCUGGCUGGGUCCCCUGCAAGCAGAGAAGUGGUGCUAGAGACUGGGACUUACCCCACC